rnacentral:tRNA from 1 species
UCCCUGGUGGCUCAGAGGUUAAAGCAUCUGCCUCCAGUGCAGGAGACCCAGGUUCGAUCCCUGGGUCAGGGAG